GAGGGCGUGAUCAUUAGGAAGCUGAGAGAUUAACCCUUUCUCUUCAGUAUGAACAGGAAAGAUGGUUUGAGGGCUCAUACAAGCUUUCCCCUCCUUUAAUUUGGCUUCUGCAGCUGAGGACUUUGCCUUUGACUGGAAUUCAAUUUUGACCAAGUAUUGAGGAGCAACAGUCCUGCACCUGCUUUAUAAAUUCUGAGAAGAGAUCCAGGAUCCUUUUAAUAUUCUUUCAAGGAACUCAUAGCAGAAUGAAUCAUUCUGGAUGGGGGCAUGGCUGGCUGGAACCCUGAACAGGAGCAUGGGGGAAAAUGGACUGGAGUAUCCUGCAAGAGAGCAUGGCUAGCUGCGAACCUGAACAGAAGUGUUCCACAUGGCAACAUUUUGUUAUGGAUCUAAAAUCCAAAAUGUUUAAACACUGUGAAAUUUGGUUUGGGGGUGCUUCUUUGGGUUUUUGUACUCUUUCAGCAUUCUAUAGGGUUUUACAGAGCAGCGGGGAGGGAGCAGGAGAGAUCUUGGUAUUCAGAGGUGUGUCUGGUGGCUUCAUUAUAUACUCUUUGCCUAUGCUGAAGACACACCUCUUUAUCCGGGCCUUUGACAUUUGAUAUCCUAUUUUUCUGAUUUAUUUUUUAUAUUUUCUCUGGUAUGUUCUUUGAUGAAAAUUCUUUUC